UUCUAUCCUUGAUUUUCCAUAUAAUCAAGGAUAUAUGGAUAUAAAAGUAUCCAUAUAAUCACUUUUCCACUUUUCUCCCCACUUUUGUACAUAUAAUCCUUGAAAAAUCAUUUGCAGAAGAUUCAACAAAUAUCAUCUGGAGUAAAACAUGAAGUAUAUAGAGUCAAAGGAACAUAAGUUGUUUGUAUAAUUGUUGCAUUCUAUGAUAAAGUCUCAGGGUCAUGAUAUUAAACUAAAACAAGUAGAGGAAUUUUUGCAGAUUAUUCGUAAAUUUUGCCCUUGGGUUCGUGAAGGAGGUGUGCUGGAUGUAUCUACAUGGGCUGUUAUAGGGGAAAAAAUUGACCACUUUUGCUUCUGUAAUAAGGACGUGCCACAAGCUUCUGUGUUGUUAACUGUCUGGGGUAAGUUCCACAAAUGUGUUUGCCCUUCUCACCCUUCCACACCACCCUAUUCUUCCUCCACUUCACUAACCAAACAGACAGAUCCUCAUUUCCCAAUGCCACCGAGCAUUGCAGGUGCUGACCUUCUCCCUGUCUCUCCGGAUCGCGAGGAGCUUGUUGAACAAGGGUCUUGCAGUCAUCAUAGUGAGUAUGAUCCUAAUUUGCUUGAUGUUCCAUUGACUGAAGUUAUUGUGACUCAACCGGAUCCCAUAAUGUCUACUCCGGGGACUGCACCUCAGUGGGACCCUGGGCCAGUAACUUUUACUUUGCCUCCAGAUCUUGCUCGUCAGUUUCAGGAUUUGCUUUCACUUUGUUCGGGAGCAUUUACUAACCAGCAGAAGUUAUAUCCUGUAGUUCAGCAAGCAGCCACACCUUCUGGUGCUUUGCUGAUGGCCUUAUGGUCUACCACUGCCGCUCCGAUAACACUGUUGACUCAUGCUUUAAUGUCUUUACAUAGAGGUUUUACUGAGUAUGACAAUAUAUUUCCUGCUCUUUAUCCUGUUAUUGAGGUGGUGGAUAAUCAAGGCAAUCGGUUAGAAAUUAUGAUCCUAUUCCUCGUAAGACACUAAAAGAAAUAAAAGAGGCAGUUGUACAAUAUGGACCUACCGCUCCAUAUUUUAUUUCUCUUAUAGAAAAUUUGACUAUCUCUGCUCUCCCCCCUUGUGAUUGGGGAUGUUUGACUAAAGCAUGUUUCUGUGGUGGUGAUUAUUUACUUUAGAGAGCUAAUUAUGAGGAUGCUGCCUAUGAGCAGGCUGAAAGAAAUCACGGUGACAAGGUACCUAUAACUGCUGAUAUGCUUGUAGGAAAAGAAUAUUACGAACCUUUGGCAGCUCAGGCUACCUUGCCAUCAGAAGCAUAUGCCCAGAUUAAUAUGCUCGCUGCAAGGACCUGGAAACAAUUGCCUUCUACAGGAGUUAAAACGAAGGAAUUGGCAAAAAUAAGACAAGGUCCUGAUGAAUCUUAUCAAGAUUUUGUAGCUUGGCUGCUUCAAGCAGUCGUGAGACAAGUACAGAAUGCUGAGGCUAAAACAAUGCUGAUUAAACAAUUAGCUUAUGAAAAUGCUAAUUCUGCUUGUCAGGCUGCUAUUAGGCCCUGGAGUAAAAAGGGCACCUUGGUUGACUACAUUCGCCUUUGGGCUGAUAUAGGCCCUGCAUAUCAACAAGGGCUUCCCAUGGCUGCCGCGCAGGCUGGCAUGACAGUAGCCGCUUUUAUAAAACAAAAAUUUGGCAAUAAAGGGGACAAGUCAGCUGUGAAGUGUUAUCACUGUGGGGGCCUUGGCCAUGUGGCAAAAUUCUGCCAAGCUGUUAUACCUGCCUUGCCUGUUCCUCAACCCAGCCUGCAUAACAUCAAGUCACAGCAGCCUGGGGAAUGUCCUCUUUGUCAUUGAGGUAAUCCUUGGGCUGCUGAAUGUCGCUCUAAGCGUGAUGCACAAGGAAAUCCUUUGCUUCCCAAAUCAGGAAACUCCCAAGGGGGGCUGUCUCGACACCCCCCCCCCAGAAAUUCAGGGCAACUGUGAUUCAGGCAGUCUCUCCCCCAGUGGUAAUAAAUCCAUUUCACAACUUUACAGAGCAACCCCACACAGUGCAGGACUUGACCUCUGUCCCUCCUCCAGACAAGUAUUAACUUUGGAUAUGGGCCCGCAAGCCAUUCCUACUGGUGUUUUUGGACCACUGCCAGCAGAUCAUGUAGGGUUACUUUUGGGACAAAGCAGCUGGUCUUUAAAAGGCUUGCAAGUUGUUCCAGGAGUUAUUGAUGCUGACUACACUGGAGAAAUUCGAGUUGUGACUUGGGCACCACAAGAUCGGCUGACGCCCCGGUGUGGGUUCCUGAACACCUGGUAAAGCAUGGAUUUUCCACCAAUGGGCGGGCAAAACGCCCUGAUAGCUCGCUUUUGCUGUCUGCACCUGAGGAACCCCCCAUCGCGUCACCGCCUGAGGAACAAACGGACAAUCUCCUUCCGCUGGAGUAACGGACAACUUGGAGCCAGAUGAAGAAGCUUAGUGCGGAAGCUGCUCAUUUAGUGGAUGUUCAGAACACUCCUCAUACACCUAAAGUUAUGUUUAUUGCUAUGAUGGCUAUUUUGUCUUGUCAAAUUCCUGGAGGUCAUUCAUACUUGACUUCUUCUCAGAAGUUGUGGGCAUAUGUUCCUGAUCCUCCAGUGCUUAGGCCUGUGACCUGGGAUGACCAAACCUUCCCAGUUUAAUGAUACUUCUGUACUUGGGUUUCCCUCUUCUACUCAUAUUACUCCACAAAUAGCUAAUUAUACUUAUUCCGCAAAAGCUGCAGUGCCUCCCAUGUGUUUUUAUGCUUCCAAGAUAUGGGAUGAUUAUUCUUAUGAUAAUGUUAUGUCUAUGCAAUCACCGUCCUUAUCAUUUUCACCUGGUCCUUUCUGCUUUGACCUUGGCAUGAAGCGUUUGCAUACUUUUGCUGGACCUAAUAAAUUGCUUCCUGGUGAAACUUAUUUUGGUCGAGAUUGAAGAUUGUCUUAUUUAGGAAUUAGAGAAUCAAUUAACAUAUCCUCCCCAGAGUUUCCCUUAAUGGAAAGACGACGGUGCUGACCUAGUAAUUCCUCUCUUGACCCAUCACCGCCUUGGAAAUUUUGUUAUCCCAAGCAAAAGCAAGUGCUUCCUUAUUCCCUGGGUUUACUUUAUAUGACUGGUCUAUCCCUCUCCCUUUGGCAACUGAUAUUACACGCAAUGAAAUGCCUGGGGGUGGAGCACCCCUAUUUUUACUACUGCUAAGGGCAAAGCAUAUACUUCUCUUUGGAAACUGUUUGUCGCACUGACUCUCAGUUUUCUAAGGGCCAGUUCUAGAAGCUUCUCUUACCCUUCUAAAAAACAUAUCUUUGGGCAAGCUUGUGUCACAUCUCCAUACGCUAUUAUCUUUGGUAAUGUGACUAUCUCAGAAAAAGGGGGGCAUUAUAUUGUCUCUUGUGAAAAUUGUACUCUUACCAAUUGUCUUGAUUCCUCUAUGUUUCCUACUCCCACUAUUCAUGUCCAUCAACCACUAUAUGUGAUGCUCCCUGUUAAUAUUUCUGGUGACUAGUAUGAUGAGAGGGGACUUCAAAUUUCACACCAAGUCAGGGAUCUGAUGGUCUGACCUAAAUGUUUCAUAGGAGUUUUAAUUGCCAGCAUUUUGGCCAUUGUGACUGUUGUUGUGACGGUGGCUACAGCUGCUGUUAGUCUUGCACACAGUGUUCAAUCUGCGGCUUAUGUUAAUCAUCUCGCUAAAAACAUCUCAGUUUCUAUGGGAACUCAAAUGGAUAUUGAUAAAAAAAAAUUGAAGCUAAAUUAAAUGCCUUAGAGGAGACUGUUAACAUUUUAGGGGAUAAGAUUUAUAACAUGCAAAAUCACAUGGCUCUUCAUUGCCAUGUAGACUAUAAAUACAUAUGUGUGACCUCCUUAUAAUGACACUGCCUGGCAGUGGCCUCUUGUUAAGGCCCGUCUGCAAGGUAUAUGGUCGCAUAAUAAUCUAUCCUUGGAUGUUAUGGAAUUACAGCAAGAAAUUCAUGCUAUUGACUUUUCUCGUAAGGAUUUGCCUCAAGAUACAUAUGUGGCUAAGGAUAUUGUGGACACCUUGUCUUCCUGGGUAUAUGGAGUUCAUCUCCCAUCUUUUUCCUCUUUAAUUGGUAUUGGAGUCGCUUUACUCCUUCUUAUAGUCCUUCUCCCGGUAUUCUUUCGCCUUGUGUUCUCCUCCCUUCAACAAUUGUGGCUCAAGCUUUUUGAGUUGCAUUUAAAAACAAAAAAAGAGGGAACUGUGGGGAACCCUCCCAUGUGAGGCCCCUAGAAAAUGGGCCUCGCCAUAUGGUGAGCUUCAUCCCGGACACAGAUCCCCAGUUGGGGCAAGUUGAGCUGAGGGAAAGCAGGAACCGAGAGAGGGACUAUGCUAUUCAAAAUAAUUAACAGACAUUACAUUAUGGGUCCACUUUUGGUUCCUUAUGGUUUAUUGCUUCAUUGUGUUCAUUUUUGGAUCCUUGCUACAAUAGUUGUAAAAUAAUAACUUAAGUAUUUACAAUUGUUAAGUAUUUACAACUGGGCAUAACUUACUUACCUUGUGACUUAAGUAUUCCAUUAUGCUUAUCUGAUGUAAGAAAACUUAUAAUUUUAUGGUAAAACUUUGUGUUCCCCUUUAUCUCAUGGAAAUAACUUUUGUGUUUUAUGUAAGCAACUCUACUUGUAACGUAUAUAACCAGACCCUGAGCGCAAUAAAGUUGUUGGUGAAGCAUAGCUUCUCAACCCUCAA